UCUCAACACCAAAUGGUUCGUACUACAUAGAUCUUUUGGGUACGCUAGGCAAUCCUCAAAAUCUCAAUACCAAAUGGGCCCGAGAAGGAAGGAAAUUUGUUUCCUACUUGAUAGAUCUUUUGGGUAAUACAUGAGAGGAAAAGUUGAAGAAUGUAUGAGCCGCCACAAGAGAAAAUGUGAUUAAUCUCCAUGAUCGAUAAACUGUGAGACGACAAGAUACGAGAACAGGAGUAAUAUGGUUAUUUCUACAGGAAAUACUCAAAACUUGCAAUGAUGAUGUCACUGCAAUAUGAGAGAGAGAGAGAGAAAA